rnacentral:rRNA from 1 species
GUCCAUGCCGUAAACGUUGGGAACUAGGUGUGGGUCUCAUUCCACGAGAUCCGUGCCGCAGCUAACGCAUUAAGUUCCCCGCCUGGGGAGUACGGCCGCAAGGCUAAAAACUCAAAAGGAAUUGACGGGGGCCCCGCACAAGCGGCGGAGCAUGCGGAUUAAUUCGAUGCAACGCGAAGAACCUUACCAAGGCUUGACAUACACCGGAAUCAUUCAGAGAUGGGUGAGUCUUCGGACUGGUGUACAGGUGGUGCAUGGUUGUCGU